rnacentral:rRNA from 1 species
GAUGAACGCUGGCUACAGGCUUAACACAUGCAAGUCGAGGGGAAACGACGGGGAAGCUUGCUUCCUUGGGCGUCGACCGGCGCACGGGUGAGUAACGCGUAUCCAACCUGCCUCUGACUGAGGGAUAACCCGUCGAAAGUCGGCCUAAUACCUCAUGGCAUCGUCUGCGGGCAUCCAACGACGAUUAAAGAUUUCACCGGUCAGGGAUGGGGAUGCGUCUGAUUAGCUUGUUGGCGGGGUAACGGCCCACCAAGGCUACGAUCAGUAGGGGUUCUGAGAGGAAGGUCCCCCACAUUGGAACUGAGACACGGUCCAAACUCCUACGGGAGGCAGCAGUGAGGAAUAUUGGUCAAUGGGCGAGAGCCUGAACCAGCCAAGUAGCGUGCAGGAUGACGGCCCUAUGGGUUGUAAACUGCUUUUAUGCGGGGAUAAAGUGAGGGACGUGUCCUUCAUUGCAGGUACCGCAUGAAUAAGGACCGGCUAAUUCCGUGCCAGCAGCCGCGGUAAUACGGAAGGUCCUGGCGUUAUCCGGAUUUAUUGGGUUUAAAGGGAGCGUAGGCCGUGGAUUAAGCGUGUUGUGAAAUGCAGGUGCUCAACGUCUGCACUGCAGCGCGAACUGGUCCACUUGAGUGUGCGCAACGCAGGCGGAAUUCGUCGUGUAGCGGUGAAAUGCUUAGAUAUGACGAAGAACUCCGAUUGCGAAGGCAGCUUGCGGGAGCACAACUGACGCUGAAGCUCGAAAGUGCGGGUAUCGAACAGG